rnacentral:rRNA from 1 species
UGGGGAAUAUUGCACAAUGGGGGGAACCCUGAUGCAGCCAUGCCGCGUGAAUGAAGAAGGCCUUCGGGUUGUAAAGUUCUUUCGGUGACGAGGAAGGUUGAUAGGUUAAUAGCCUAUCAAAUUGACGUUAAUCACAGAAGAAGCACCGGCUAACUCCGUGCCAGCAGCCGCGGUAAUACGGGGGGUGCGAGCGCUAAUCGGAAUAACUGGGCGUAAAGGGCACGCAGGCGGUGACUUAAGUGAGAUGUGAAAGCCCCGAGCUUAACUUGGGAAUUGCAUUUCAUACUGGGUCGCUAGAGUACUUUAGGGAGGGGUAGAAUUCCACGUGUAGCGGUGAAAUGCGUAGAGAUGUGGAGGAAUACCGAAGGCGAAGGCAGCCCCUUGGGAAUGUACUGACGCUCAUGUGCGAAAGCGUGGGGAGCAAACAGGAUUAGAUACCCUGGUAGUCCACGCUGUAAACGAUGUCGAUUUGGGGAUUGGGCUUUGAGCUUGGUGCCCGUAGCUAACGUGAUAAAUCGACCGCCUGGGGAGUACGGCCGCAAGGUUA